rnacentral:pre_miRNA from 1 species
GGAAGGAGGGUUUUACAUGAAGAAAAGAGCUUUUGUUUGCUAGCCAAGGAUGACUUGCCUGCUAUGCCACCCUGAUUUUGUGGGUUCUAGUCUACAAUUUUGUGGCAUCCAGGCAGUCUCCUUGUCUAUCCAGACAGGCCCUUUUUUUUCAUGCUAGACCUUUCCAUCC